ACUCAAAUGAAUUGACGGGGGCCCGCACAAGCAGCGGAGCGUGUGGUUUAAUUCGAGGCUACACGAAGAACCUUACCUGGGUUUGACAUACAAGUAGUAGUGAAGCGAAAGCGGAACGACCUUCGGGAGCUUGAACAGGUGCUGCAUGGCUGUCGUCAGCUCGUGCCGUGAGGUGUUCGGUUAAGUCCGCAAACGAGCGCAACCCUCGGCGUUAGUUACAAGUGUCUAACGCAACUGCCCGUGAGAAACGGGAGGAAGGUGGGGAUGACGUCAAGUCAGCAUGGCCUUUAUAUCCAGGGCUACACACACGCUACAAUGGGCGGUACAACGGGUCGCGAAGCCGCGAGGUGGAGCCAAUCCAUAAAGCCGUUCGUAGUUCGGAUUGCAGGCUGCAACUCGCCUGCAUGAAGUCGGAGUUGCUAGUAACCGCAGGUCAGCUAUACUGCGGUGAAUACGUUCCCGGGCCUUGUACACACCGCCCGU
rnacentral:rRNA from 1 species